UACGGGGGGAGCAAGCGUUGUCCGGAUUUAUUGGGCGUAAAGAGCUCGUAGGCGGUUCGGCAAGUCGGAUGUGAAAUCUCCACGCUCAACGUGGAGGGGCCAUUCGAAACUGCCGUGACUCGAGUCCGGUAGGGGAGUGUGGAAUUCCCGGUGUAGCGGUGAAAUGCGCAGAUAUCGGGAGGAACACCAGUAGCGAAGGCGGCACUCUGGGCCGGUACUGACGCUGAGGAGCGAAAGCGUGGGGAGCGAACAGG
rnacentral:rRNA from 1 species